GGAGUUAGGACCGUGUCUCAGUUCCUAUGUGGGGGACCUUCCUCUCAGAACCCCUACUGAUCGGUGCCUUGGUGGGCCGUUACCCCGCCAACAAGCCUAAUCAGACGCAUCCCCAUCGACAGCCGAUGAAUCUUUAAUUGCAUCCCCAUGCAGGAACACAACCACAUCGGGUAUUAAUCCUCCUUUCAGAGGGCUAUCCCCAAGCUGACGGCAGGUUGGAUACGUGUUACUCACCCGUGCGCCGGUCGCCAUCUAUCAAAGCAAGCUUCGAUAAUGAUGCCCCUCGACUUGCAUGUGUUAAGCCUGUAGCUAGCGUUCAUCCUGAGCCAUGAUCAAAACUCU
rnacentral:rRNA from 1 species